rnacentral:rRNA from 1 species
AUGCAAGUCGAGCGGAACGACUUAACUGAACCUUCGGGGAACGUUAAGGGCGUCGAGCGGCGGACGGGUGAGUAAUGCCUGGGAAUAUGCCUUAGUGUGGGGGAUAACUAUUGGAAACGAUAGCUAAUACCGCAUAAUGUCUUCGGACCAAAGAGGGGGACCUUCGGGCCUCUCGCGCUAAGAUUAGCCCAGGUGAGAUUAGCUAGUUGGUGAGGUAAGAGCUCACCAAGGCGACGAUCUCUAGCUGGUCUGAGAGGAUGAUCAGCCACACUGGAACUGAGACACGGUCCAGACUCCUACGGGAGGCAGCAGUGGGGAAUAUUGCACAAUGGGCGAAAGCCUGAUGCAGCCAUGCCGCGUGUAUGAAGAAGGCCUUCGGGUUGUAAAGUACUUUCAGUAGGGAGGAAGGUUCAUGCGUUAAUAGCGUAUGGAUUUGACGUUACCUACAGAAGAAGCACCGGCUAACUCCGUGCCAGCAGCCGCGGUAAUACGGAGGGUGCGAGCGUUAAUCGGAAUUACUGGGCGUAAAGCGCAUGCAGGUGGUUCAUUAAGUCAGAUGUGAAAGCCCGGGGCUCAACCUCGGAACCGCAUUUGAAACUGGUGAACUAGAGUGCUGUAGAGGGGGGUAGAA